rfam:chromosome VII of strain GB-M1 of Encephalitozoon cuniculi (Microspora)
GUCAGGAUGGCCGAGUGGUCUAAGGCGGUACGUUCAGGUCGUAUUCUCAUUGAGGCACGGGUUCGAAUCCCGUUUCUGACA